rnacentral:sRNA from 1 species
GCGCAUGAAUGGAUUAACG